GAAAAGUACACAUUACACACAGAAGAAAAAUGACAGCAGACUUCUUUCCAAAAAACUAUAUAAUGUUCAUGGAUUGGAAAACUCAAUAUUGUUUCCAUUUCCAUUUCCUCCAAAUUAUAAGUUCAAUGCAAUUCUAAUAAAACUCCCAGCAGGUUUUUGGUUUGUGAAAACUGAAAUUGAAAAUGCAAAACAUGAAAAUGAAAAGAACAUAGCCAAAAAUGUCUGCAAAAGAACAAAGUUAGAGGACUUAACGUUUCUUUUUCUUUCUUUUUUUUUUUUUUUUUUUUUUUUUUUGGGGGAGCAAGAUGAAGACAAACUUUAUUGAGUGUUAGAACAGCUCAGAGGAGAUUUUUUUUUCUGUAUCCCAAGUCAUCAAGCAAGGACUUACGUUUCUUAAUUUCAAGACUUACUAUAAAGCUAUAGUAGUCAAGACAGUGUAAUACUGAUGUAACAAUAGACAUAUAAAUCAACAGAACAUAACAGAAAUUCCAGACAUAGAGCCACACAUAUAUGGUCAAUUGAUUUCCACAAAGGCAGUGCCACCAUGCCAAAGAGAAGUCCAGAAGCCUCCCAAGUCAUAGAAAAUGGACAAAAGUUGGGGUCACCUGAAUCCUUGUAAUUUAAUCCCAUUUUUGUUAUAAAAUAAAGAGUUACUAUGGUUUUUCACUUUCUUAUUCGCUGGGACUUC
rnacentral:lncRNA from 1 species